rnacentral:lncRNA from 1 species
UUCAGUAAUAUGAUGAAGCAUUACACUAUCCACCAAAAAAAGGGUAGAUCUACCCAAGAAUCACUUGGUAUCGAUCGCAGAAAUCAAGGAUAAUCGAGUCUAUCUCUAGGGGAGAGGACUCGAUAAGAUUAUCAGGACCCAAGGUGAAUGGGUGGGUGUGCAUGUGAAGGAAGCCAUCCUUAUAGUCAGUUAUAUGAUUGUUAGGACAUGGAAUCUCCACCCUCACUGCCUUGCUCCAUCGAUAGUCCUUCCCUACCUUGCUAAUAUCGAUCACGAUGCUAACAUAUCGGGACAAAUACUAGCACCAGCCUGGUGUAGAUGAAGUGGCACGGACACUAAAAUCCUCUAACAUAUCGAGAUCAGGUGCGGUACAUUGUUCUAUAGAGGGAAUCACUCUGGUUUAUUCCUUAGGCGAUCGGGAUGAUAAUGCAUCAUUGUUCUGUCGAGGAACCGUUCUAGAGUCCUAGCCAUGUCACUAGUAAAAAUCCUUCUAUGAAAAGAUGAAAGAGUGUCAAAUAUAAAAAUUCUGACUCGUGAGCUUGGAAGUGAGGUGAAAGUGGAAAGUAUCAAGCAACCAAUGCAUUUAUAAGAACCGCUAGGGAAGCGAAAAGGAUGAGCCAAUAGUAGUUCUUAGGUUUCUUGAUUACUGCAUCUGACGGCGGUGUUGCACAGUUCAACGGAAUAUGGCAUUUAAUGAUCUUUAGCAGUUGACAUCACUACAAUGAUGACCUCGAGAUGACGGUUCAAAACUUAUUUCGUAUUACUUCAUUCUAGGAAAUGCGGAGACUAUCUGUAUACAGUAAAGUCGGAGGAGUCAAUUUCUCACCACUAAGGUGCAUUCGGGGAGUUAUAUUAGUAUCUCGAGGCUGCAAGACUACGAUCGAGCUCCCUCCCCCGAGGUUCGCCCACGACCCAACAAAUAUUUUGAGGGUGGGGAUUUUUCGAGGCGAACAACCAGCAUCAACAGAGUCUAGCAUCGUGCCUAGCCGUCCCAUCCUCAUAUCUUUAAAUUUAAU